rnacentral:rRNA from 1 species
UGGGUAACCUGCCUCAAAGAGGGGAAUAGCCUCCCGAAAGGGAGAUUAAUACCGCAUAAUAUGUUUUAGUCGCAUGACUUAAACAUCAAAGGAUUUUCUUUUAGAAAUUCCACUUUGAGAUGGACCCGCGGCGCAUUAGCUAGUUGGUGAGGUAACGGCUCACCAAGGCAACGAUGCGUAGCCGACCUGAGAGGGUNAUCGGCCACAUUGGAACUGAGACACGGUCCAGCUCCUAGGAG